AUAAAUAAAAGUUGGUUUUGGAUGUGUGUAGGUAGGCUAUGGUCUCAUGUCCCUUUAAGACGCUGUCCUACGUCAGAGACGAGACUCCGCCCCAUCCAGUCUGUAACAAAGAGGGAAAGACAGGUGAGGAGAUGGAGGACGGAGAGAAAGUUGGAGCGGCUGAAGUAGACGAAGUUAAUGUGGGAGGGGGUGAGCAGGUUGUGGAGUAGUUGUCGUCCAUUUAU
rnacentral:lncRNA from 1 species